UACAGCAUUAGGGUUCAGCGCGCUUCUUCUCUCUCAUUUCUUCUCCCAUCCGUGCUCUCCCUUGUCUUCUCUCUCCCUCUGCCUCACCCUCUGCCGACUUUCUUCCACCUGCCGGCGAGAAGCUCAAACGUUCUCUCUAUCGUCUUCUCUCUCCCUCUGCCGGAGAAAAACCUGCAACCGUAUCACGGCAAAGCCGCGGUUCGAAAACCCUUAGAUCCCUAAACUACCAACUCCGGCCUCACAUCUAGACGACGCUCCACGCGGUGUCGCCUCUCUCCUCGACGACGAUAAAUGAGCCGCUGCCUCCCUCUGCUCAGCCCUUAUCCAGCCGCCGCCAUCCGAGUUUCAAACUACGGCGUCGCCCAGCCCUAGCUUCCAGAUCUCGGCCUCCUCCCUCGACUGCAUCUUUAGUUCUUGCGAUCUCCAUAUCUCAGUGGUAAUACUUCAAGAUCUCAGUGGUAAUACUUCCACGGAAAUAUUAAGAAAGGUUCAGUCUUAAUCUUCUGCGGUCUUGAUCUGCUGCAAAAAUUCAGAAAUAUUAGCUACAUUUUUAGACUUUGUGUGUAAAGUAGAAAAAACUGUAUAAAUUUGUAUCUUAGUUGUAAUUGAAACUAAUAAUAAACAGCAAAAAAACUAAACAGAAUAAAAAGAAAAAUAGCAACAGUAAAAUUAAAUAGCAUAAAGAAGCAA